AACGAACGCUGGCGGCGUGCUUAACACAUGCAAGUCGAACGAGAACGGAUUAUAGCUUGCUAUAAUUGUCAGCUAAGUGGCGCACGGGUGAGUAAUGUAUAGGUAAUAUGCCUCUUUCUAAGGGAUAACAAAUGGAAACGUUUGCUAAUACCUUAUACUCCUUAUUAACAGAAGUUAAUAAGGGAAAGAUUUAUUGGUAAGAGAUUAGCCUGUAUUGUAUCAGUUAGUUGGUGGGGUAAUGGCUUACCAAGACUAUGACACAUAACUGGUUUGAGAGGAUGAUCAGUCACACUGGAACUGAGACACGGUCCAGACUCCUACGGGAGGCAGCAGUGGGGAAUAUUGCACAAUGGACGAAAGUCUGAUGCAGCAACGCCGCGUGGAGGAUGACACAUUUCGGUGCGUAAACUCCUUUUAUAUGAGAAGAUAAUGACGGAAUUAUAUGAAUAAGCACCGGCUAACUCCGUGCCAGCAGCCGCCGUAACAC
rnacentral:rRNA from 1 species